rnacentral:rRNA from 1 species
AUUGAACGCUGGCGGCAUGCUUUACACAUGCAAGUCGAACGGUAACAGGCCUUCGGGUGCUGACGAGUGGCGAACGGGUGAGUAAUGCAUCGGAACGUGCCCAAUCGUGGGGGAUAACGUAGCGAAAGUUACGCUAAUACCGCAUAAGCCCUGAGGGGGAAAGCAGGGGAUCGCAAGACCUUGCGCGAAUGGAGCGGCCGAUGUCAGAUUAGCUAGUUGGUGGGGUAAAGGCUCACCAAGGCGACGAUCCGUAACUGGUCUGAGAGGAUGAUCAGUCACACUGGAACUGAGACACGGUCCAGACUCCUACGGGAGGCAGCAGUGGGGAAUAUUGGACAAUGGGGGAAACCCUGAUCCAGCCAUGCCGCGUGUGCGAUGAAGGCUUUCGGGUUGU